rnacentral:rRNA from 1 species
CAGUUCGCGCACUGGGUGAGAGCCUGAUCCAGCCAUCCCGCGUGAAGGACGACUGCCCUAUGUUUGUAAACUUCUUUUAUACUGGGAUAAACCUACCCUCGUGAGGUAACUGAAGGUACAGUAUGAAUAAGCACCGCUAACUCCGUGCCAGCAGCCGCGUAAUCAA